ensembl:lncRNA
ACACGUGUACCCGUGCACAUCCCUAGUCCCUACCUCCGCAGGGAGUCCUCGUCGGGGGGCUCCACCGGCAUCUCCUGGGCCAUGGGGUCGGGCUGCUCGGGUUGGCGCCGCGCCCCCGCCUGCCGGUACACGCGCUCCCAGCCCAGGCUCUCCUGGUUGUACACCAGGUUGACCUCCGGGCUACUGGGGGCGGGACUGCCGGGGUAAGCCACGCCCACACCUCCCCCGGCUCCUCCGGAGGGCAGGGGCUCGUUACCCAGGGCGGGGCCCCUCCUGUCGUGGGUCGGCUCCUCCGGCCCCCUCUGGCCCUCCUCGUGGGACCAAAGGGGGGCGGUGGCGGUUGGGGGGUUCCCGGCGGCGGUGGAGGAGGUCUGGGCGGUGCGCUCCCAGCGCUGGGAGUCCUGGUUGAAGGUCAGCAGGUUGUGGCACGCCCGGCAGCGGUUCAGGUGGGCGCGGGACCCCGAGGGCCGGCCCCCCGAGGGCCCGGGGGGGUGGAGGUGGGUGCGGGCGGGGGGGCGCGUCCCGGAGAGGGGCGGGGGUGGAGGUGUGUGCGUGCGGAGGGCCGGCUGCCUGAGGCGCGGGGGAGGAGGCAGCCCUCGGGGUGGGGGCGGAGGACGGCGGGGUCGGGGCUGGUAGUGGAUGAUAGUGGGGUGGGCGGGGGCCCCGGACGUCCCCGCCCGGUCCGGCUCCAUGUUGUUGUUGAGCAGCUCCUGGCCGGGCUCCUGGGGGCCGGGGGCUCCGCCCACCCCGGGGGCUUCGGGGUCCUGGCCGCGGUCGAACUCCAUAAAGUAGCGGCUCAGGUUGCACUGCAGCACGUUGCGGAACGCCGCCGAGUUGCCCCGCCCCCCGUCCCAGAAGGGGUGGUGCCCCCCGCUGGUCCCGGCCCCGCCCCCCCGGCCCAGGGAGGCCCCGGGGCCCGGCUCCGACCCGCGGGGCUGGGAGCCCCGCCCCUCGGUGGCGGAGGUGUAGACGGGCGCCUGGGAGGAGGAGUCCUGCUGCCGGACCACCGACACCGGGGAGGAGAGGGAGGAGUCGUGCUGACGGAGCACCGACAGCAGGCUGACGGAGGAGGAGCAGCUGGUGCGGGGGGGCAGCAUGCCCGCGGACAGCCCCCCCGCGCCGCUCAGGGGGCGGGGCCAGCCGGCAAGCCGGGCGGAGGGGUGGGGCUCCAGCAGCUGGCUGGCGGGGGGGCUCGGGGGCGGGGCGUGCUGCAGGGAGGCGGGGAGGGGGGGGUCCGCCACCAGGCGGGGGUCAGAGGGGAUCCCGGGGGGGAUGUCCGGUCCAAGGGAGGAGCUAUGAUUGGCCGAGCAACGGGAGCACAGACAGACCAUGCCAAGGUGCUGGGUGCAGCCCGGGUAGGCCUGGCCAUGGAGGGGGUCCGGGAACUGCAUCCCGGGGGGCACGCCCGGAGGGUCCCCCAGGGAGGGCCCGGGGUCCCCCCGCCCGUGGCGCCUCGCCCCCCUGGCCCGGCGAGGUGCGGGACGACAGGAUGUGGAGGAAGUUGUGCAGGAUGGGGGUCCGGCGCACGGGCUGGGAGGGCAGGAAGGAGCGCUGGCGGAACAGCGGCAUCUCCACGCUGUCCAUCGGGACCUCCGCGUCC